rnacentral:rRNA from 1 species
AGUGAACGCUGGCGGCGUGCCUAAUACAUGCAAGUCGAACGGAGAUUAAGUAGCUUGCUAUUUAAUCUUAGUGGCGCACGGGUGAGUAAUAUAUAGCUAACUUGCCCAUUACUAAGGGACAACAGUUGGAAACGACUGCUAAUACCUUAUACUCCGUAUCAUUAUAAUUAAAUACGGGAAAGUUUUUCGGUAAUGGAUAGGGCUAUAUCGUAUCAGCUAGUUGGUAAGGUAAUGGCUUACCAAGGCUAUGACGCGUAACUGGUCUGAGAGGAUGAUCAGUCACACUGGAACUGAGACACGGUCCAGACUCCUACGGGAGGCAGCAGUAGGGAAUAUUGCUCAAUGGGGGAAACCCUGAAGCAGCAACGCCGCGUGGAGGAUGACACUUUUCGGAGCGUAAACUCCUUUUCUUGGGAAAGAAUUAUGACGGUACCCAAGGAAUAAGCACCGGCUAACUCCGUG